rnacentral:rRNA from 1 species
GAUGAACGCUAGCGGGAGGCUUAACACAUGCAAGCCGAGGGGUAUAUUGUUUUCGGACAAUAGAGACCGGCGCACGGGUGCGUAACGCGUAUGUAACUUGCCCUGUUGAGGGGGAUAGCCCAGGGAAACUUGGAUUAAUACCUCAUAAUACUUUGACUGGCAUCGGUUGGAGUUGAAAGAUUUAUCGCAACAGGAUAGAC